GGCUACAGCCAUGCCACCCUGAACAAGCCUGAUCCGGUCUGAUAUCGGAAGCUAAGCAGGAUCAGGCCUGAUUAGUACUUGGAUGGGAGACCACCUAGGAAGACCAGGUGCUGUAGACA
rnacentral:rRNA from 1 species